AUAAGAGAGGCCGUUGGGGUUCCGCUCUCUCCGCAGUUGGGAGAGGUAGAACACAAGCAACUUAGUGGGAUGGUGUACAGAAACUAUAGGGAUAUUUGCUGAUGGUACACUUCCCUACUUAACAAAGCCCGACCAUUAAGCCAGAGGUAUUUUCUCUCGUGAAAUUCUUUCCUCCUCAUGUCUUCGUGGAGUUGCAGAGAGUAUCCCAGUUCGACCCGGGGACACUGGCCUCCGUGCAUGUGUCAGUGUUUCCUUUCCUGUAUUUCAUCAAGGUCUCUGAAAGCCUCCUCUCUUCCCUACAUGCUGGUUUCUCCCCCGUCGAAUACUCCUCAUCCCUCUUACACCCUUUUCCAUCUCUCAUUUUUCUCGUUCUCCUGUGUGCUCGCCUUCGAUGUUUUCCUUGCUCAUCCUACGUUCUUUUCUGUGGCUGUUCUAACUCUUUCCUCGACUCCUCGUAUCUAAACGGCUUCUCAUCGACUUCCGUUCGCCGCGUUUCCACGUCCCCUGUUCCGUUUGUGUCGCGCAUCAGGCCUUUCUGGAGACUCAGCAAGCGGGGCGCCUUACCGAGGCCUCCAAGCAGCUCUGCGUUGGCCAUGGUGGACGUGGAGAAGAACUGAAGAGCGCCGAAAAUCGCGGGGGCAUACGCGUUCCUCGCAAAGAGCAUCUUCUGUGUGGCCCGGCUGCCAGCCAGAGAGGCGAAUGGACGACCCUUAGCACUUUGUCCAGGUUUCUUCACUUGCAAGUCGUUUGCCGCAAGAGCCUUUAGAGCUCGAGAGGUCACAAAGGUGAGUUGGCCGUCGAGAGCGAGAACGUCGAGGACAGGAGUGCAUAGGAAGCGGGUCAGGUUCUUCGAGCAGUUCUUAUCCCACCAUCUUUUGUUCCAAGUGGCAGUGCAGACGCCGUCGUCAGCGGUCGACUUCUUGCUCUUGGCCGCCUUCGCGCAAGUCGCUUUCAGCUUCUUCCUCUUCGCCUCCACCUCGCCCAAGCUCCGCUCAUCCACGAACAAGAGAGAAAUCCACCAAGUGCCGUAGUCGAGGCUCAGGACGUCGCCUAAGAGACCCGCCUCCAGAUGCGGCGCUGCGGACACAGAGAGGCGAAGGCCGUCGGAAGCAGAAGGAACGCCGUAGGAGCAAGAACGACUUUUCCGAAAGCAAGACCGACGCAAAGGCCCUCAGGGAAGGCGAAACCCCAAGCAGAGAAAAGAACCGAAGAAAAAUGAAGACGGGGAGGGAAAAAAAGGAGACAAAGAGAAGAGGAGAGAAAGAAAUGGAAAAAAGAAAAAACGAGAGAAGAGAGACAACGAACAGAUGAAAACGAACGGAAGUGAACAGACACGACAACGAAAGAAGCGAAAAGGAAGGUGACGCAUAAGAGAAGAGGUAGCGAUAAGGAAGAAAGGAGAAAGAAGAAAGACGAGAGCCAAGUCACAGGACCCAUGGAUUUAAGUCUUUGUUCGGAGUCGAGAAUGAAGAGAAAAACUCGCUCUACGAAGUCGGAAGCAAUCCCCUGCAGCACGACCCCGCGCCGUCCGCCUUCUCCAACAGGCUCGCCAAAGUCGCAAGGGUGCGACGAAAGACCAGCCGUGUCUGGAUCUAGCAGGGAUCGAUCCGCCUGAGUGAAAACGCCAGUCUGCGUCGGCUUCGAGAGAGAAACACAGCGGAGAAUCGGUCUCCGCGCGACUGAGAGUCUGAAUGUCCCGUUUGCUCUUUUCUCCUACCGGCUCGGAGCCUGAGCCAAUUGAAGUUCCGUCGUGCCCUGUCUUCUUGCUCCUGGGGAGAGUCUUCGUCCUCAGACUCAUCGACCGCCGGGGCCGCCGCAGCCUUUGUUUCGAGGAGAACGACGGAGUCGAACUCUGAAACUUCUCGAAGGUUCGGCGGCAACGCAGAGGACGUGGAGGCGCUCAGAGCGGAAGGGAGAACAGUGUCGGAGAAGGAGCACGAGAGGAGGUCGGUUAGCUCCGUUACGCCGUCCACGCUCUUGCGAAAGGAGAGGCAAACACGCCUGAAGUUUGCAGAACCGCUCGCGUUGUGUUCAAGAAGCACACUGCGCCUCUUCUUCUCGUCGUUCAGAGACUCCAUGCGUUCGUUGAAGUCCACGACGGCCGCAGAUUCACCUGAAGAGACAGGGGACAUUCACAAGACCAGUGGGGACCCUUCGAGUAGAAAGCGCGACUUUGGAAUCGCCACAAAGUGCCUUCCAGGGCACACUUUAGUGGAACCUAGAAUCCCACUUCCCUCCUUGAUCCACAUUCUCGUCUUCCCCAACCUGGUUGCGAAAACACGGGCGCAGCUGUGAAGCACUCAGUCAAGCGUUCGUCACUUGGGGGAGGGGGGGUAGACCGUUUUUCAUGGAGAUCCUUCAGAGUGAAGUGAAGCAGAAACGUUUCAUAUUUCCGAGCAAAUCUUCAAAGGCAUGCUUUCUUCAAAAGAGCAGUCCGUCGACUUGUUGCUUGCAAGCACAGACACGAAGCUGCCUCAAGGCGCCGUCGAAGCACAGGAGCGCAAGCGAGCCUCGAAACGCCUGCGACACAGAGCCGCCAACAACAGUCGGCACAGCUCUCUCUCCGGUCUGAAAGAGACACAACGGUCACAGGGGCCUUCGACCAGACGCGCGACUCACCGAGGUCCAGAGCGGUGGCGGCGCGGUAAAGAAUGUCACAGGAGAACUUUGCUUCGCCUACGACGCGCGUUUUUCUGAACAUUUUUUCUCGCGGAAGGAUGGGCAAAGUCGAAGGCGUCUUCGGCCGGGGCUUCACCUUCUUCAGAGCCACUCCGCAGAGGGCAUCGAGUCUGGAGUAUCUCUCCUGGGACCCUGCACGAAGAAGCGUGGAAAUCCUCGGGAACGGACGCGCAGCACCCUCGCCAGUAAACAACUCAUCCCAGCGAUACCAUGCCUGGAAAAGGAGGUUGUAAAGCAGAGCCACUGCAGAGAAAGAAAACGGAAAACAACAGGUCUCGAGUGCACUUCCCAGUGACAGAGCACGUCGAAGCUGUUCCGCCUAUCUGUCAAGUCUAGACGGCGGGGACGCAAAGCCACUACAGAUGGAAAAAAAGGGGGGACGGCAGACGAACACCGAAACCGGACAGAAGCGGGAGAAUCGCGGCUCUAAGUGUCGGUCGCAUGCGUUUCUUCGUGGUAUGAAACAUUCGCAAAAGCUGAAGUCACAGGUCUUCGCAUGCGGCUGCGAAAUCCUCUUCACGGGAGUCAUGAAGGCGCCGACCACGAAGACACCGCUUGGUUAAAAACAGCAGAGCGACGCGUCGCUUUGACGCAUGUUUUCGGAAACACUUUGUAAAACCAUUUCUCACCAAGUGGACUUCGAGCUCCAAUGAAGAAGAGUCGACGCGCUGCGCUGUAGUGAAGCGUUCUGGUCGCUUCAGGCUCAUAAGGAAAGGCUUCCAGGGUUGUCGUCUCUGGAGGUCCGAGUGGCUUUCCGAGGAAUCUGUUUUUCAGUUUCCUGCGAGAAAAGUCGUCGGGGCACACGGGAAGAGUUCAGA
rnacentral:lncRNA from 1 species